rnacentral:miRNA from 1 species
AGGAGGAGAGAGCUGCAAGUU